AUGGAGCAGCCGUAACCCCCAGCGAGCUGGGGUGCCCCCCGCGCUCCCCCCCCGUUGCACCCCCAGCCCAAGGGGAGCCAGCCCGGGGCGCCCCAGCUUGUCCCCGUACCGUCGCAGGAGCACCGCCAAGAGAUGCCGGGACAAGCACCUGGAGGAGGCCCUGCUGCUGGCGCGGGCGCUGAGCGAGGAGCUGCGGGUGCUGGGCGAGGCGGAGGCACGGCCGCUGCUGCGCUGCGUGCUGGCUUUCCAGCUGGAGGCGAGCGGCAGCUCCAGCGCCUUCCACAAACUGGAGCAGAUCGUGACCCAGCUGGCGGUGGGCCAGGAGGCCCUGCUGUCCCAGGAGGUGGGCGCGCUGCUGGCCGGCCUGGCGCCGCACGGAGAGGUGCUGUCUCCUGAGGAGCUCCAGGCAGGUCAGUCCCUGCUCCUUGUCCCCAGGGGCUUCUUCCAGCCCCUGCGCCACGGUGCCAGGAGGGACAGGGACUGAUGCUG
rnacentral:lncRNA from 1 species